rnacentral:rRNA from 1 species
AUUGAACGCUGGCGGCAGGCCUAACACAUGCAAGUCGAACGAGUGGCGGACGGGUGAGUCAUGUCCGGGAAACUGCCUGAUGGAGGGGGAUAACUACUGGAAACGGUAGCUAAUACCGCAUACCAUCAGAUGUGCCCAGAUGGGAUUAGCUAGGUGGGGGGGUAACGGCUCACCAAGGCGACGAUCCCUAGCUGGUCUGAGAGGAUGACCAGCCACACUGGAACUUAGACACGGUCCAGACGCCUACGUGAGGCAGCAGGUGGGAAUAUGGCACAAUGGGAGCAAGCCUGAUGCAGCCAUGUCGCGUGUAUGAAGAAGGCCUUCGGGUUGUAAAGUACUUUCAGCGGGGAGGCGUUACCCGCAGAAGAAGCACCGGCUAACUCCGUGCCAGCAGCCGCGGUAAUAC